rnacentral:rRNA from 1 species
GUCCACGCUGUAAACGAUGAGCGCUAGGUGUUGCGGGUGUUGACCCCUGCAGUGCCGAAGCUAACGCAUUAAGCGCUCCGCCUGGGAAGUACGGCCGCAAGGCUAAAACUCAAAGGAAUUGACGGGGGCCCCGCACAAGCGGUGGAGCAUGUGGUUUAAUUCGACGCAACGCGCAGAACCUUACCUGGUCUUGACAUCCUAGGAACCUGCCAGAGAUGGUGGGGUGCCCGCAAGGGAGCCUAGAGACAGGUGCUGCAUGGCUGUCGU